GUGAGAGGGAGAAAGGAGGCAUCCAGGGAACUCCUGGUUCCUGGCAUGGGUAACUCAAGGGUGGAGUGCCCAUUCCUGACAUAGGAAACAAAUGUCAAGGGGGAGCAGGUUUGGGGUUAGGGUGAUAAGAUUGGAAAGUUUGAAAGCGGUUAGGAUGAAUGAAAUAAGCAAUCAUAAAUCAAUGGUCAUCAAGUGACAUGAAGGUCCAGUUGAAACUAGUAGCAUGAAUGAGUAGGAAUAUCACUAGGAAGCCACCUGCGUUUCCCAGCAAAGCUUAAGGAUGGAGCAAAGAAAAUAAGUUCAUCUUUAUUCUGGGGUGAUGUGUGGGAAAGUAAGAAUGGUAGAAGGCCAGCCAGAAAGAGAGCUUUCCCACACCAAUAAGGGCAUGGUUAAAUGUGGCUGAGUUUGAGUUCUGUGCUGUCAUAGACAAGCAGCUGGAAGGAAGCCUAGGAAACGAAGGGUUCUAGAACAGUGAAGGGAACAGAAGGUGCUCUGAGGCCAAAUGGCAGUUCAGUGGGAGAUGAAGGGAUAUGUGACUGUGGUCAGAGGAGAGAAUUUCAGCAUUUGGGAUGAGAGAGGUAGAACACUUUCAGUUGACCUUGAGUUCUAAGAUGUGGCCACGCUCAGAUGUACAUUGUAUGGUGUUAGAGGACGAAAGCCCUCCCCUUUCUCCAGAACCCCUUGGGCACCGUCCCUGUCAUUCAAGACCAGCCUCAACUCUCAGUUCCUCCGGCGGAGCUUCUACCCCUGGCUGUUUCCUGCCUGAUACCGACCAUGUCACCGUGCCUUGCCUACAGUUCUCCAGAGAGUUUCUGUCCCCUCCCCUAAAAAGACAUCUCCUUCAGACUCAGCACUGAUCUCACCUCCACUUUACUGAACUGAGCUUAGUGCUCGAUUCCUCAAAACUGUACGGUUGUUUACAACUGCAGUGCGGUGAUCCACAAAUUCUCUCUCAGGCCACCUUUAAGUUGACCAACGCUGCCGUGCAUUCGGGUUCUCAGGGGCUCUUGUCCGCACAUCCUGCUUGUCACUGAUGCUAACAUGACAAAUCUAGCAUUGUAAUUCCUCUCUGUCAGGCAUCACAAAAGCUGUAUUCGCAUUAAUGCAUUUAUUUUCCUCA